rnacentral:rRNA from 1 species
AUGCCGGCGUCUCCAUCGCGAGCGUGCACGGCUGCUCGAUGCUCGCAUCAGACUGAACAAAGUGCACCAACUCCAAGACGCCGGCACGUAGGACAAUGUGGGUGGGACUGCAAGCCGCCGUCCCGUGGGCAUGCAGAGGAAGAGAUGUCGAACUUCAAGACGGCCUUAGCCAGGGGCGCUAACGGCCGGAAAGAUCAGACCUGGGUGCACGUUGGCCUCGACCUCGAACAAGGUCAGAAAACAACAACGCUGGUGCGUGGCCGCCACCACCGAUCCUUGGCCCCGCUAUCUAAUCUAUUCAUGAUUGCACGUACAUCCAUGGCAUUGCCUAGCACCAUUCAGCAGGAUAUCAACUAUGGAUUUCUUAGACUUCAAACCUAUACUGUCAACUGCAAUUAUGUUCUUCAUUUGGGGACCAUUGUAUUCUUGAAAAAUGCAUGCACCUAUAUAUAUGGUGUCUUUUUCUUACAUAUACGUGAUGACAAGACAAACCUGACUCCAUCUGAUUGA